AACGAACGCUGGCGGCAGGCUUAACACAUGCAAGUCGAAGGAGAAGCAGGACUUCGGUCCUGUGGACACUGGCGAACGGGUGGGUAACGCGUGGGAACCUGCCCUGGGGUGGGGACAACCACUGGAAACGGUGGCUAAUACCGCAUACGCCCUCCGGGGGAAAACUUUUGUGCCCUGGGAUGGUCCCGCGUCGGAUUAGCUAGUUGGUAGGGUAACGGCCUACCAAGGCGACGAUCCGUAGCUGGUCUGAGAGGAUGAUCAGCCACACUGGAACUGAGACACGGUCCAGACUCCUACGGGAGGCAGCAGUGGGGAAUAUUGGACAAUGGGGGCAACCCUGAUCCAGCCAUGCCGCGUGGGUGAAGAAGGCCUUAGGGUUGUAAAACCCUUUCAGCGGGGAAGAUGAUGACGGUACCCGCAGAAGAAGCCCCGGCUAACUCCGUG
rnacentral:rRNA from 1 species